UAAGGAAUUUUGGACAAUGGGCGAAAGCCUGAUCCAGCCAUGCCGCGUGUGUGAAGAAGGCCUUAGGGUUGUAAAGCACUUUCAGGGGUGAAGAAAAUCUCGGGGUGAAUACCCCCGAGCCUUGACGUUAACCCCACAAGAAGCACCGGCUAACUCCGUGCCAGCAGCCGCGGUGAUACGGAGGGUGCGAACGUUAAUCGGAAUUACUGGGCGUAAAGCGCGCGUAGGCGGUUUGCUAAGUGAGGUGUGAAAGCCCUGGGCUUAACCUGGGAACUGCAUUUCAGACUGGCAGACUAGAGUUUGGUAGAGGAAGGUGGAAUUCCCUGUGUAGCGGUGAAAUGCGUAGAUAUAGGGAAGAAUACCAGUGGCGAAGGCGGCCUUCUGGAUCAAAACUGACGCUGAGGUGCGAAAGCGUGGGGAGCAAACAGG
rnacentral:rRNA from 1 species